AGUUGUAUCCUGGCUCAGGACGAACGCUGGCGGCGUGCCUAAUACAUGCAAGUCGAGCGGAGAAAUGGGAGCUUGCUCCCAUUUCUCAGCGGCGGACGGGUGAGUAACACGUGGGCAACCUGCCCUGCAGACUGGGAUAACUCCGGGAAACCGGAGCUAAUACCGGGUAAUACAUAGCAUCGCAUGAUGCAACGUUGAAAGUUGGCCUUUGGCUAACACUGUAGGAUGGGCCCGCGGCGCAUUAGCUAGUUGGUAAGGUAACGGCUUACCAAGGCCACGAUGCGUAGCCGACCUGAGAGGGUGAUCGGCCACACUGGGACUGAGACACGGCCCAGACUCCUACGGGAGGCAGCAGUAGGGAAUCUUCCGCAAUGGACGAAAGUCUGACGGAGCAACGCCGCGUGAGUGACGAAGGCCUUCGGGUCGUAAAGCUCUGUUGUUAGGGAAGAACAAGUACCGUUCGAACAGGGCGGUACCUUGACGGUACCUAACCAGAAAGCCACGGCUAACUACGUGCCAGCAGCCGCGGUAAUACGUAGGUGGCAAGCGUUGUCCGGAAUUAUUGGGCGUAAAGCGCGCGCAGGCGGUCUCUUAAGUCUGAUGUGAAAGCCCACGGCUCAACCGUGGAGGGCCAUUGGAAACUGGGGGACUUGAGUGCAGAAGAGGAGAGUGGAAUUCCACGUGUAGCGGUGAAAUGCGUAGAUAUGUGGAGGAACACCAGUGGCGAAGGCGGCUCUCUGGUCUGUAACUGACGCUUAGGCGCGAAAGCGUGGGGAGCGAACAGGAUUAGAUACCCUGGUAGUCCACGCCGUAAACGAUGAGUGCUAGGUGUUNGGGGCUUCNNCCCU
rnacentral:rRNA from 1 species